rnacentral:rRNA from 1 species
CCUACGGGUGGCAGCAGUGGGGGAUAUUGCACAAUGGGGGAAACCCUGAUGCAGCGACGCCGCGUGUGGGAAGACGGUCCUCUGGAUUGUAAACCACUGUCCCCAGGGACGAAGAUGACGGUACCUGGGGAGGAAGCUCCGGCUAACUACGUGCCAGCAGCGGCGGUCAUCCCUAGGGAGCGAGCGUUGUCCGGAAUUACUGGGUGUAACGGGAGCGUAGGGGGGAUGGCAAGUUGGGUGGCAAGUCUACCGGCCCAACCGGUUACCGCACUCAAAACUGCAGGUCUUGAGUGUAGGAGGGGCAGGCGGAAUUCCUAGGGUAGCGGUGAAAUGCGUAGAUAUUAGGAGGAACACCAGUGGCGAAGGCGGCCUGCUGGGCUUUUACUGACGCUGAGGCUCGAAAGUGUGGGGAGCAAACAGGAUUAAAUACCCUGGUAGUC